ACGAACGCUGGCGGCGCGCCUAACACAUGCAAGUCGAACGAGGAAAUUGUUUUCGGAUGAUUUCCUAGUGGCGGACGGGUGAGUAACGCGUGAGUAACCUACCUUUCAGAGGGGGAUAACGUCUGGAAACGGACGCUAAUACCGCAUAACAUAUUGAGAUCGCAUGAUAUUGAUAUCAAAGGAGCAAUCCGCUGAAAGAUGGACUCGCGUCCAAUUAGCUAGAUGGUGAGGUAACGGCUCACCAUGGCGACGAUUGGUAGCCGGACUGAGAGGUUGAACGGCCACAUUGGGACUGAGACACGGCCCAGACUCCUACGGGAGGCAGCAGUGGGGGAUAUUGCACAAUGGGGGAAACCCUGAUGCAGCGACGCCGCGUGAGGGAAGAAGGUUUUCGGAUUGUAAACCUCUGUCCUUGGUGAAGAUAAUGACGGUAGCCAAGGAGGAAGCCACGGCUAACUACGUGCCAGCAGCCGCGGUAAUACGUAGGUGGCAAGCGUUGUCCGGAAUUACUGGGUGUAAAGGGAGCGUAGGCGGGAGCAUAAGUUGAUUGUCAAAUCUAUGGGCUUAACCCAUAGCCGCAAUCAAAACUGUGUUUCUUGAGUGAAGUAGAGGCAGGCGGAAUUCCUAGUGUAGCGGUGAAAUGCGUAAAUAUUAGGAGGAACACCAGUGGCGAAGGCGGCCUGCUGGGCUUUAACUGACGCUGAGGCUCGAAAGCGUGGGUAGCAAACAGGAUUAGAUACCCUGGUAGUCCACGCGGUAAACGAUGAAUGCUAGGUGUCGGGUAACGAAGUCAUUCGGUGCCGCCGCAAACGCAUUAAGCAUUCCACCUGGGGAGUACGUUCGCAAGAAUGAAACUCAAAGGAAUUGACGGGGACCCGCACAAGCGGUGGAGCAUGUGGUUUAAUUCGAAGCAACGCGAAGAACCUUACCAAGUCUUGACAUCCUUCUGACCGGUACUUAAUCGUACCUUCUCUUCGGAGCAGGAGUGACAGGUGGUGCAUGGUUGUCGUCAGCUCGUGUCGUGAGAUGUUGGGUUAAGUCCCGCAACGAGCGCAACCCUUACCUUUAGUUGCUACGCAAGAGCACUCUAGAGGGACUGCCGUUGACAAAACGGAGGAAGGUGGGGAUGAGGUCAAAUCAUCAUGCCCCUUAUGACCUGGGCUACACACGUACUACAAUGGCUGUUAACAGAGGGAAGCGACGCCGCGAGGCGAAGCGAAUCUCAAAAAGCAGUCUCAGUUCGGAUUGUAGGCUGCAACUCGCCUACAUGAAGCCGGAAUUGCUAGUAAUCGCGAAUCAGCAUGUCGCGGUGAAUACGUUCCCGGGCCUUGUACACACCGCCCGUCACACCAUGAGAGUUGGCAACACCCGAAGUCGGUAGUCUAACCGUAAGGAGGACGCCGCCGAAGGUGGGGCUGAUGAUUGGGGUG
rnacentral:rRNA from 1 species